UAAGUCGGAUUAGCUAGUUGGUGGGGUAAAGGCCUACCAAGGCGACGAUCUGUAGCGGGUCUGAGAGGAUGAUCCGCCACACUGGGACUGAGACACGGCCCAGACUCCUACGGGAGGCAGCAGUGGGGAAUAUUGGACAAUGGGGGGAACCCUGAUCCAGCCAUGCCGCGUGUGUGAAGAAGGCCUUAUGGUUGUAAAGCACUUUAAGCGAGGAGGAGGCUACUUUAGUUAAUACCUAGAGAUAGUGGACGUUACUCGCAGAAUAAGCACCGGCUAACUCUGUGCCAGCAGCCGCGGUAAUACAGAGGGUGCGAGCGUUAAUCGGAUUUACUGGGCGUAAAGCGUGCGUAGGCGGCUUAUUAAGUCGGAUGUGAAAUCCCCGAGCUUAACUUGGGAAUUGCAUUCGAUACUGGUGAGCUAGAGUAUGGGAGAGGAUGGUAGAAUUCCAGGUGUAGCGGUGAAAUGCGUAGAGAUCUGGAGGAAUACCGAUGGCGAAGGCAGCCAUCUGGCCUAAUACUGACGCUGAGGUACGAAAGCAUGGGGAGCAAACAGGAUUAGAUACCCUGGUAGUCCAUGCCGUAAACGAUGUCUACUAGCCGUUGGGGGCCU
rnacentral:rRNA from 1 species